rnacentral:rRNA from 1 species
UACGUAGGGGGCAAGCGUUGUCCGGAAUCAUUGGGCGUAAAGAGCGUGUAGGCGGCUCGGUAAGUCCGCUGUAAAAGUCCAGGGCUCAACCCUGGAAAGCCGGUGGAAACUGUCGAGCUAGAGUCCGGAAGAGGCGAGUGGAACUCCUGGUGUAGCGGUGAAAUGCGCAGAUAUCAGGAGGAACACCAAUGGCGAAGGCAGCUCGCUGGGACGGUACUGACGCUGAGGAGCGAAAGCGUGGGGAGCGAACAGG